GGGCUUACAAUGGAUACCUAGGCACCCAGAGACGAGGAAGGGCGUGGUAAGCGAUGAAAUGCUUCGAGGAGUUGAAAAUGACCAUAGAUUCGGAGAUUCCUGAAUAGGUUAACCUUUUUAACUGUUGCUUAAUCCAUGCACAGGAAAGAGACAACCUGGUGAACUAAAACAUCUUAGUAGACAGAGGAAUAGAAAGAAAAAUUGAUUCCCGUAGUAGCAGCGAUUGAAAUGGGAGCAUCCUAAACCGUGAAAACGUGGUUGUGGGAGAGCACAAUAUAAGCUCUAUGCUGCUAGGCGAAGCGGUUGAGUCCUACAACCUAGAUGGUGAGAGUCCAGUAGCCAAAAGAAUUAUUGGGUUACACUCUAAACCGAGUAGCAUGGGGCACGUGGAAUCCCAUGUGAAUCAGCGAGGACUACCUUGCAAGGAUAAAUAAUCCUGGGUGAUCGAUAGCGAAGUAGUACCGUGGGGGAAAGGUGAAAGGAACCCCCAUAGGGGAGUGAAAUAGAACAUGAAACCAUAAGCUCCCAAGCAGUGGGAGGAAAAUGAUAUCUAUGACCACGUACCUGUUGAAGAAUGAGCUAGUGACUUAUAGGCAGUGGCUUGGUUAAGGGAACCCACUGGAGUCGUAGAGAGAGUGAGUCUUCAUGGGGAAAUUUUCAUUGCUUAUGGACCCGAAACUAGGUGAUCUAUCCAUGACCAGUAUGAAGCUUGGGUGAAACUAAGUGGAGGUCCGAACUGAAUGAUGUUGAAAAAUAAGAGGAUGAGUCGUGGUUAGGGGUGAAAUUCCACUCAAACCCAGAGCUAUUUGGUUCUCCCCAAAAUGAGUUGAGGUGCAACAUUUGAUUGGACCAUCUAGGGGUAAAGCAUUGUUUCGAUACGGACCACGAGAAUGGUACCAAAUCGAGGUAAACUCUAAAUACUAGAUUUCCCUAAUAAAAGGGGUAAAGGUCAACCAGUGAGACAAUGGGGGAGAAGCUUCAUCGUCGAGAGGGAAACAACCCAGAUCAUUAGCUAAGGCCCCUAAAUGACCGCUCAGUCAUGAAGGAAGUACGAGUGCAAAGAUAGGGAGGAGGUUUUCAUAGAAGCAUCCAACCUUGAAAGAGUGUGUAAUAGCUCAUUGAUCGAGUGCUCUUGCAUCGAAUAUGAACAAGACUAAGCUAUCUGUCGAAGUUGUGGGAUGUAAAAAUACAUCGGUAGGGGAGCGUUUAGCCUCAAAGGGAAGCACCAGCGUGAGCAGGUGUGGACAAAGCAGAAGCUAGAAUGUCGGCUUGAGUAACGCAAACAUUAGUGAGAAUCCAAUGCCCCAAAAACCUAAGGGUUCCUCUGCAAGGUUCAUCCACAGAGGGUGAGUCAAGGCCUAAGAUCAGGAUGAAAGGCGUAGUCGAUGGACAACAAGUUAAUAUUCCUGUACUACCCCUUGUUGGUCCCGAGGGACGGAGGAGGCUAGUUUAGCUAAAAGAUGGUUAUCGGUUCAAGGACGCAAGGUGAAUCUCUAUACAUUGAUUCAAAGGUAAAAGAAGAAUCAAAUAUAGGUGUGUACAAGGUGAGGUUGGGGGUGGAUAUUCCUCAUCAUCUACUCUAGCACACAAAAAUCCAAGAUGGCUUAUCCAAACAUUAUAGGAUGCACAUAAUCAUGUAGGAGUGCCCAUAUCAUCAAUGAGGGUGAGUAUACCUCCUAAGAGAUAUGUUAACCAUAUUGUAUUAGAUUCUUCCAUUUGUGAUCUUUACAAUUGUUUUGAGGAGGUGAUGUGUGAUAG
rnacentral:rRNA from 1 species